rnacentral:rRNA from 1 species
UACGUAGGGUGCGAGCGUUGUCCGGAAUUAUUGGGCGUAAAGAGCUUGUAGGCGGUCUGUCGCGUCUGCUGUGAAAAUCCGGGGCUCAACCCCGGACUUGCAGUGGGUACGGGCAGACUAGAGUGUGGUAGGGGAGACUGGAAUUCCUGGUGUAGCGGUGAAAUGCGUAGAUAUCGGGAGGAAUACCAGUGGCGAAGGCGGCUUCUUGGCCUGUUCUUGACGCUGAGGAGCGAAAGCGUGGGGAGCGAACAGG